GUUUGAUCCUGGCUCAGGGAUGAACGCUAGCGACAGGCUUAACACNUGCAAGUCGAGGGGCAGCGGGAUUGAAGCUUGCUUCAAUUGCCGGCGACCGGCGCACGGGUGAGUAACACGUAUGCAACCUGCCCGUCACAGGGGAAUAACCGGAAGAAAUUCCGACUAAUUCCGCGUAACACCUUUGUAAGGCAUCUUAUAGAGGUCAAAGGAGCAAUCCGGUGGCGGAUGGGCAUGCGGCGCAUUAGCUAGUCGGCGGGGUAACGGCCCACCGAGGCGACGAUGCGUAGGGGUUCUGAGAGGAAGGUCCCCCACACUGGUACUGAGACACGGACCAGACUCCUACGGGAGGCAGCAGUGAGGAAUAUUGGUCAAUGGGCGAGAGCCUGAACCAGCCAAGUCGCGUGAGGGAAGACGGCCCUACGGGUUGUAAACCUCUUUUGUCAGGGAGCAAGAACGGAUACGUGUAUCCGAGCGAGAGUACCUGAAGAAAANGCAUCGGCUAACUUCCGUGGCCAGCAGGCCGCGGUAAUACGGAGGAUGCGAGCGUUAUCCCGGAUUUAUUGGGUUUAAAGGGUGCGUAGGGCGGACUACCAAGUUCAGCGGUAAAAUUGCGGGGCUCAACCCCGUCGAGCCGUUGAAACUGGCGGUCUUGAGUGGGCGAGAAGUAUGCGGAAUGCGUGGUGUAGCGGUGAAAAUGCAUAGAUAUCACGCAGAACUCCGAUUGCGAAGGCAGCAUACCGGCGCCCGACUGACGCUGAAGCACGAAAGCGUGGGUAUCGAACAGGAUUAGAUACCCUGGUAGUCCACGCAGUAAACGAUGAAUGCUAGCUGUCCCGGGCCGAAUGANNACCUGGGGUGGCACANNCNAAAGCGUUUAAGCAUUCCNCCUUGGGGGAGUACGCCCGGCAANCGGUGAAACUCAAANGGAAAUUGNACGGGGGGGCCCNNCACAANGCGGAAGGAACAUUGUGGUUUAAUUCNGAUGAUACCNCGAGGGAANCNUUACCCNGGGCNUCAAACCNCAGUGUGAAUNGUUUGGAGAAAUCCUUCAGUCAGCAAUGACACACUGCGAGGUGCUGCAUGGUUGUCGUCAGCUCGUGCCGUGAGGUGUCGGCUUAAGUGCCAUAACGAGCGCAACCCCUAUCGACAGUUGCUAACGGUUAGAGCCGAGGACUCUGUCGAGACUGCCGGCGCAAGCUGUGAGGAAGGCGGGGAUGACGUCAAAUCAGCACGGCCCUUACGUCCGGGGCGACACACGUGUUACAAUGGCAGGUACAGCGGGAAGCCAUCUGGCGACAGAGAGCAGAACCCGAAAACCUGUCUCAGUUCGGAUUGGAGUCUGCAACCCGACUCCAUGAAGCUGGAUUCGCUAGUAAUCGCGCAUCAGCCAUGGCGCGGUGAAUACGUUCCCGGGCCUUGUACACACCGCCCGUCAAGCCAUGGGAGCCGGGGGUACCUGAAGUGCGUGACCGCAAGGANCUNACCNAAGGUAAAACUGGUGACUGGGGCUAAGUCGUAANCAAGGUAGC
rnacentral:rRNA from 1 species